CGGUGUAGCUCAGCCUGGUGGAGCGCUACGCUCAUAACGUAGAGGCCGCGAGUCCAAAUCUCGCCACCG
rnacentral:tRNA from 1 species